CUUUUACAAUGAAGAGUUUGAUCCUGGCUCAGGAUGAACGCUAGCUACAGGCUUAACACAUGCAAGUCGAGGGGCAGCAUUUCAGUUUGCUUGCAAACUGGAGAUGGCGACCGGCGCACGGGUGAGUAACACGUAUCCAACCUGCCGAUAACUCGGGGAUAGCCUUUCGAAAGAAAGAUUAAUACCCGAUGGCAUAAUUAGACCGCAUGGUCUUAUUAUUAAAGAAUUUCGGUUAUCGAUGGGGAUGCGUUCCAUUAGGCAGUUGGUGAGGUAACGGCUCACCAAACCUUCGAUGGAUAGGGGUUCUGAGAGGAAGGUCCCCCACAUUGGAACUGAG
rnacentral:rRNA from 1 species